UCUUGAUUAUGUCAUUACGCCGUCACGUGAUUCCCUCCCGGCGCGCUUUAAUCCGGAAAUAGCUUUGGUUGAAUAUCUACAAAUGUUUGACACUGAAAAUUACAAGCUAGGAUGGAUAUGAUGCCUAAGCACCCACGUCGAGCUGCGGCAGUUUGUGCUGAAACCAAAAAAGAUGUUCUUUCCCACAGAUGUUGGGAGUUUGAACCUCCCCCCGGGCCGUCAAACUCAAGUGACGUCACAGGACAUUCUUCCCAGCGACUUCCUGGCUUUCGUGGCCCCGGCCUUCAUCACCGUCUGCAGCAUUCGCUUCCCGUUCCUGGGGAGCUGGUGUCUGUCUGGAGAUAGAAGUGUCAUAAAUAUACAGAUUAAAUAUGAUGCUGUUGUCAUUGUGACAAAGUAAACUCUCCAUCCUUUUGUGUCAGAUUUUUAUCCUGUCGGUGACCUUCUCUUCUUCGCCUGCUCCUAAAACCUACAAUGGCUCCAUUAGAAUCCAUUAUUAACCUUCACACCUUGGUCCUAAUUGAUAUUUGAUUGAUGUUGCGAUCACGUCUCUGUCUCGGAACAGUGUACAGACUCUGAACCUAAACCUUAAAGAGGCAAGCGGCAACCCUCUGAUCCUCAGCUCUCACUUGCGCAGGACAUACCACAGCUGCGUGGCGCAGCCAAGACAGGAGCAGUGAUUCAGAGGGACAGAUAUGCCAGGAGGGACGCAACAAAGAUGAAAGAGAAAAGGGAGACGUAAACGUAAACGGAGGGAAUGCAGUGAAGAAGAACCAGAGCAAAGCAGGAAAACUUCUCUUAUUCAUCCGACUUGGUCCGUCUGUUUGGGACGC